UACAGAGGGGGCAAGCGUUGUUCGGAAUUACUGGGCGUAAAGGGCGCGUAGGCGGCCACCUAAGUCAGACGUGAAAUCCCUCGGCUCAACCGGGGAACUGCGUCUGAUACUGGGCGGCUUGAAUUCGGGAGAGGGAUGCGGAAUUCCAGGUGUAGCGGUGAAAUGCGUAGAUAUCUGGAGGAACACCGGUGGCGAAGGCGGCAUCCUGGACCGACAUUGACGCUGAGGCGCGAAAGCCAGGGGAGCAAACGGG
rnacentral:rRNA from 1 species